rnacentral:rRNA from 1 species
UACGGAGGGGGCAAGCGUUACUCGGAAUUAUUGGGCGUAAAGGGCGCGUAGGCGGUCGUGCGCGUCGGAGGUGAAAUCCCCGGGCUUAACCCGGGAGCUGCCUCCGAUACGGCAUGUCUUGAGUCCGGGAGAGGGGAGCAGAAUUCCCAGUGUAGCGGUGAAAUGCGUAGAUAUUGGGAGGAAUACCAGUGGCGAAGGCGGCUCCCUGGACCGGUACUGACGCUGAGGUGCGAAAGCGUGGGGAGCAAACAGG